ensembl:misc_RNA 7SK 7SK RNA
GGAUGUGAGGGCAAUCUGGCUGCAAUAUCUUUCACCCCAUUGAUUUCCAGGGUUGAUUUGGUUGAUCUGGCUGGCUAGGCAGAUGUCUCCUUCUUCUCUCACCACUCCAUGUGCAUCCCUACCAAAGCUGUGCACUCGGUCAAAGAGGACAGCCAUCCCUGAUAGAGAAGGACUGGUCUUCAGUCAAGGGUAUAUCAGUAGCUAUGUCCCCUUCUAGAACCUCCAAAUAAGCUCUCAAGGUCAAUGUGUAGGAGAACAUAGUGUAGUCAAGCUUCCAAGACUCCAGACACAUCCAAAUGAGGUGCUGCAUGUGGCAGUUUGCCUUUCUUA